AGUUCUGCAGGCUUUACAGGAAGCAUGGUGCUGGCGUCUCCUUGGUUUCUAGGGAAGCCUCAGGAAGCUUACAAUCAUGACAAGGCAAAGGAUGAGCAGGAUGUUUUCACUCCAGAAUGCAAAUUCAAGGAAUCUGUGUUUGAAAACUACUAUGUGAUCUAUUCUUCCACACUGUACCGCCAACAAGAAUCAGGCCGAGCUUGGUUUCUGGGACUCAAUAAAGAAGGUCAAAUUAUGAAAGGGAACAGAGUGAAGAAAACCAAGCCCUCAUCACAUUUUGUACCGAAACCUAUUGAAGUGUGUAUGUACAGAGAACCAUCACUACAUGAAAUUGGAGAAAAACAAGGGCGUUCAAGGAAAAGUUCUGGAACACCAACCAUGAAUGGAGGCAAAGUUGUGAAUCAAGAUUCAACAUAGCUGAGAACUCUCCCCUUCUUCCCUCUCUCAUCCCUUCCCCUUCUCUUCCUUCCCAUUUACCCAUUUCCUUCCAGUAAAUCCACCCAAGGAGAGGAAAAUAAAAUGACAACGCAAGACCUAGUGGCUAAGAUUCUGCACUCAAAAUCUUCCUUUGUGUAGGACAAGAAAAUUGAACCAAAGCUUGCUUGUUGCAAUGUGGUAGAAAAUUCAUGUGCACAAAAAUUAGCACACUUAAAAGCAAAGGAAAAAAUAAAUCAGAACUCCACAAAUAUUAAAUUAAACUGUAUUGUUAUUAGUAGAAGGCUAAUUGUAAUGAAGACAUUAAUAAAGAUGAAAUAAAAUUAUUACUUUAAAGGAAAGGAUUUGGAGAAUUGAACUGACAAACUGAUGUUAUAUACUAAAUAGCUUAA
rnacentral:sRNA from 1 species